CCUGAUCAGCCAUCCCGCGUGUAUGAUGAAGGCCUUCGGGUUGUAAAGUACUUUUGGCAGAGAAGAAAGGUAUCUCCUAAUACGAGAUACUGCUGACGGUAUCUGCAGAAUAAGCACCGGCUAACUACGUGCCAGCAGCCGCGGUAAUA
rnacentral:rRNA from 1 species